GCGGAAGUGGCGGAAUCGGCAGACGCGCACGUUUGAGGGGCGUGUGGGCACUCCCAUGCGGGUUCAAGUCCCGCCUUCCGCACCA
rnacentral:tRNA from 1 species